CCUACGGGAGGCAGCAGUGAGGAAUAUUGGUCAAUGGGCGAGAGCCUGAACCAGCCAUGCCGCGUGCGGGAGGACGGCCCUAUGGGUUGUAAACCGCUUUUGUUGGGGAGCAAUAAGUCCUACGUGUAGGACGAUGAGAGUACCCAGCGAAUAAGCAUCGGCUAACUCCGUGCCAGCAGCCGCGGUAAU
rnacentral:rRNA from 1 species